AGAGUUUGAUCAUGGCUCAGGAUGAACGCUAGCUACAGGCUUAACACAUGCAAGUCGAGGGGCAGCAUGGUCUUAGCUUGCUAAGACCGAUGGCGACCGGCGCACGGGUGAGUAACGCGUAUCCAACCUGCCCAUCACUUGGGGAUAACCUUGCGAAAGUAAGACUAAUACCCAAUGAUAUCUCUAGAAGGCAUCUGAAAGAGAUUAAAGAUUUAUCGGUGAUGGAUGGGGAUGCGUCUGAUUAGCUUGUUGGCGGGGUAACGGCCCACAAAGCAACGAUCAGUAGGGGUUCUGAGAGGAAGGUCCCCCACAUUGGAACUGAGACACGGUCCAAACUCCUACGGGAGGCA
rnacentral:rRNA from 1 species